AACGCAAAUUGCGCUCGAGUCUUCGGCCAAGAGCAUGUCUGCCUCAGCGUCGGGUUAAUACUCACAUUUGCACUCCAUCCAGAGUGCACAUGUGUAUCUUGCUGUCGCGGUUUAUUUUAAUUAAUUAACCGGGUCAGCUGAAGCGCAGAUGUCAAGGCAUGUACCGUUAGAUCGGGCUUCUACUGGGUAGGCAACUUGUGUGCUGUUUUGCUUUAGUAGAUUGCUUGGGUACUGUCUUUGGCAUGAAGCAGGAGUAUCUGUUCAUACAGGUACAACCAAUACCAUUUUCUCGACCUGAGCUCAGGCAAGAUUACCCGCUGAACUUAA
rnacentral:misc_RNA from 1 species